CCUACGGGAGGCAGCAGUGGGGAAUUUUGGACAAUGGGGGCAACCCUGAUCCAGCAAUGCCGCGUGAGUGAAGAAGGCCUUCGGGUUGUAAAGCUCUUUUGUCAGGGAAGAAACGGUGUGAGCCAAUAUCUCAUGCUAAUGACGGUACCUGAAGAAUAAGCACCGGCUAACUACGUGCCAGCAGCCGCGGUAAUACGUAGGGUGCAAGCGUUAAUCGGAAUUACUGGGCGUAAAGCGUGCGCAGGCGGUUUUGUAAGACUGUCGUGAAAUCCCCGGGCUCAACCUGGGAAUGGCGAUGGUGACUGCAAGGCUAGAGUUUGGCAGAGGGGGGUAGAAUUUCACGUGUAGCAGUGAAAUGCGUAGAUAUGUGGAGGAACACCGAUGGCGAAGGCAGCCCCCUGGGUCAAAACUGACGCUCAUGCACGAAAGCGUGGGGAGCAAACAGGAUUAGAUACCCUGGUAGUCCACGCCCUAAACGAUGUCUACUAGUUGUCGGGUUUUAAUUAACUUGGUAACGCAGCUAACGCGUGAAGUAGACCGCCUGGGGGAGGACGGUCGCGAAGAAGUAAACUUAACAAAGAAAGUUAGUUAGGCGUUGAGACGNGCCGACGGACGACGACGAGGGAGGAGG
rnacentral:rRNA from 1 species